UUCUGCUUAAUUAUGUUAACAAAUGAGACCUUAACCUGCUAAAUAGUUAUGCCAACUUCUUAGAGGGACUGUUGGCAUCAAGCUGACAGAAGUUUGAGGCAAUAACAGGUCUAUUAUGCCCUUAGAUGUCCUGGGCUGCACACACACUACACUGAUGAAGUCAACAAGUUUAUAACCUUGGCCAGAAGGUCUGGGUAAUCUUUUGAAACUUCAUCAUGCUGGGGAUAGGGCAUUGCAAUG
rnacentral:rRNA from 1 species